rnacentral:lncRNA from 1 species
AAAAAUCCUACACGAACGGAUUGUGUUUUGGACAAAUUGUUCAAAUACUGGGGAGAAUAAUAUGCAUUUAAAAGGUGGAAACCUGACUCUUGGUUAUACGCUGCUGGGAGCAACUUCGUUGUGAGAGAAUAACUACGACCAGGCAUGCCUUCCCAAAGUUCAAAACUGAAACAGCCCUUGCUGAAACCCUGAACUCAGAAGAAAAUGCCCAGUUACUGGAGUACAGGGCCUGCCUGGGAUGCUUGGGAUUUGAGCCACCUCCUGGAACAAUCAAAGAGGAAAAGCCAAGGAUGCACUUGGUACCUGCUGGACUGGCUUGUUUUCCUGUGCUCACCAAGAGAAUGUAUAAUUUUGCAUUUUGUAUAAGAUACCUCAUUUUUCUCUUGAAGUAUUACUCUAAGCUUGGUUCUGCCCAG